rnacentral:lncRNA from 1 species
GGGCUGGAUGGCAGCUCCUGUAGGGCUGCAGCAGCUCCCAUCCCCGCAUGCAGGAGGAUUUGCCUCCAGCCCUCCCACGGCUGAAUCCAAGCCAUUCUGAACCACCACCUCACAACAGACUCAGAGCAUCUUUCUCUGCUGCAGUUGCAAACCCGUCAGAGUUUCUCUUGAGUGUUUUGCACCUUGUGAUGACGUCUGUCUGGGCUCACACCCUUCAUGUAGCUGCAGCUCUCCCUUGUCGCCCUAACUUAGGGCAGUGCUGUGGGGAGCAGAGCAGGGCUGGGAGCCAUCAAAGGUGCCACGUGAGGACUUGUUAAGACCCACAUGCAGAAUAUGAGCUUCAGCCGACCCUCCCUGGUGAGUACUGAAACUUCAGGGGCUGAACAUUUUCUCCCUGCUGGUUUUCUUCAACUUUUUUUUACCUCUUUGAAUGAAACAGACAUGUUGAACUAUUUUGAUACGACUGCGGCAAUGGGAAUACGCUUUCCUGAUGCUUCCAAUCCUGCAAAAUCACCUGCUCUUCUCCAACCAAAAAUACAAGAGUUGACCUUCUGAUGUUGAAGGAAAACAAACAAGCCUCUGGAUUCCCCUCAGGAAAACAAAUGGUCUCUGCUGUUCCAGCAUGGCCCUAUUUGGACAGCUCAAGGCUGGAAAUUCAAAAUUAGCAUUUGACAAUGAAACAAUCCAGGCAUGGAUUUUAAAAAGAGCAAUGAAUGGAAAGAGUUUUACCGUCAUUUAGGGAACUCUUCCCUUUCUUCUCUGACCACUUUUCUUUGCUGCUUGGUGCUACUGCCCUAGGAGGAGAUUUUGGGCUGCCCUGCCUUCCUUCAUCUCUGCAGGUUCCUGCUGGUGCUGCCCUAAUCUGGGUGAAGAGGAGAAAAUGUCUCUCCAGGCUCACACUAUGCAUAUGGAGAGUGGAAGAGGUCCAUGUGGGGAUGGGAGUAAUCCUGACAGGGGUAUGAACACUGGGGCUUCUUGACCAGGCUGUAGCCAUUUACCUUGCAGAGCCAGUGUGUGCUCUGCUGCCCAGCAGAGCAGUGGGGACUAAAGCAAUUAGAAGCAGUGGUACAUGGCUAAGAUGGAGGAGGAAAGGGCAGCACACGUGACUUUAUGGGCAGGUGUGAGGUCCCCAUCCCUGGCAGCAGCACGCAGCACAGCAGGGAAAACCCUUCCCCAGAUCCUGGCAUCCCUUCUUCCUCAUAGUGCUGCUACAAACAGCACAGCAGUGACUCACCCAGGGAGCAGGGCUGAGCUGGCUCUGCUCACCCUGUCCCUUGACCCCGUGUUCCUGCCAGUGAUGCAUGUUUUUCCAUACAGGUCCCACACAGUGGCUGUGAGCACCCCAGAGGGGAUUUUUAAAUGGACAUGGCCAAAGGAUUGCAGCCUGGGAGCAAAUCAAAGCAAUCCUUAAGGGAUAGAGGAGCCAUUCCCACAGCGACCUGUGCUGUGAGGCACGAACCUGCCUGCAGAAAGCACACAAUGCAAGGCCAGCUCUUGGCACGGCAUGGUUCCUGGUGUGCUGGCCAGACAUCUCUGCGUGGGGACAUCCCUGCUACCUGCUGGCAGAUUGCAGCCUGUGCCCACCAAAAGGAAGGCCCACCUGAUGCCACUCGUUUGCUGGGAAGAUGGUGCUCUGACUUCCCUUCAGGCUUUCUGGAAGAUGCCAGAGAGGACCGUUAGCACAGCAGGAUACUUCCUAGCAGACCCUACACCAUAUCUGUGCUCAGUAAAUACGUCUGCUUGUAUCCCAUCCAUUUCCCUGACACCCAAGACCUGCCACUGCUCACCCCCACAUCAUGUGCCCUUUGGGUCAAGUUGACUGGGAAUGCACCCAACCCACCUACAUUUGUGUUUGUGCAAAGGUUGUUUUGUCUCUGGCAGGUCCUGAUUCUUUUUCCAUGGUGGUUUUGCACUGCAUUGCAUUGCGUUGCCAUCAUCCUUCCAAGAAAAGCUCUCCAAGUACCUUCUGCAGGUGUCAUAGCACCAUUUCAUAAAUGUCUUUGGGGACAGAUUUGCAAUGCAUUAAGUACAGCUGUCAGCAAGAUGUCCCCACCAUUUUAACGCUAGAGCUGGGUCAGAGCCACCUCCCAGGGAACAGAUGACCUGAAAGGUGUCCUCAAUCUAUCAGAUCCUCCAAAUUAAGCCCUGCAAAAUGAGACCAGUAACGAGGCCAAAGAAGGGACGCAAUGUUGUGCAAAUACUGCAGGCUUAUCUGCUUAUCUGGAUUAUGCAACAGGCCUAGAAGUGCUUCUAUCCUAAGAACUUUUAAAAUGGUCUUCUGAGCUCUCAGGAGGUGUUGCAACACAGUGGCUCACUGCACUCCAAGGUGUGAGGCAUGUUCUGAGGAAAUUCUUGACUUACCUGUUGGCUUCCAGGCAAACUCAGUCAGUGUGUGCUACCCAGCACUUGCUCAUAGCUCAACGUAUGACUUUCCUGCUUCCAGAGAAGCCAGGGAGGAAGCAGAGAUGGUGCCUUGCAGAAAGCGUAAGGGCACAGCCAUGUUGCUGUGCUCUGCUUGUGGCGGAUGGGAGCCAGGAUAAGGCCACAAAGCCAUUCAGCUCUCUGAACUCCUACACUGCUUUUCUAACUUGACCCUGACAGCAGGAACUGAGCAGGACAGCUGUGCCAGGAUGAGUGGAAUCAGGACCCGUAAGCUCCGAAGCGUUAGGGUCAGCAAAGCCAUUUAUGUCAUACGGGAGGGAUGACAAAGGCAGUGACCUACAUGCAGGUCUGUCUGGUUGCACCACAGACAGGGAAAAGGCCACAGUGCAAGAAAUCCUCCUGUGAUGGAAGUGAAGGUGAGCACUACCCUGGGAGCAGAGCUCUUCUCUGGAGAUGAGUUCCCCUAUGCUGAGCUGGAGAGCUUGACUUCCUCAUCUCCUGUCUGGUUUCCAUAUGAUGCUCGAGGUAUGGAUGGCCCCAUACCAAUCUCAGCUCCACCAUACUGGUGAUUUGAGGUGUUUCUCUCAGAGAUCAUAGGUAAUUCAACAGAAAUAUACAGCCAUGACCAGGAGUUAGAGGGUCACAUACCUCUAAUUGGGCUCUGAGAGCCAGGCCAGGUCUUUAUUUCUCACACUAUAUCCAAUGCUCUCUGACUUGGUGGUGAGACCAGUAGAGAUGUUCAGAUGUGCAUUCUCUGUGCUACCCGGGGAGUUUGGGAGCACUCAGAUUUGGGGCAGAGCCCGUUCCCACUGCUCUGCAGGGAGCAGGCAUCUCCACCAGGCUUUUCCAGCAGCAGACACACCAGCAAAGUGCAUCCCACACUGCUGGAGCUGCAAGCAGCAGCACUGCUAUCGGUUGCCUCGUUACUUCCAGUAGAUCCCUGGGCUGGGUGCUCACUGUGUGCUUGCAAGGCUCAGUGUCUAGUGCAUAAGCCCUGGUUAUUCUUGUCCUCCUGGUUUUCUCCCAUUCCCUGCCCUAAUUUCUCCUCUCUGGAGCAGGCUUGCCUCUCCUGAACCCUCAAGCUAAAACUCUUCAUGUCCCCUUCCAACAUUCUUCUUCCCCGGAAGAGCUGCAGACAUACGGACUCCCAUGGGAGCAGAGUCCUCUUGUCCCAUGCACACACUGGAUUAUCUCCCAGCAGAUGCACAGGGGCAGCGAUGGGGACCUGCAGCCCCUUCCCAGUUUGCCUGGCUCUAACUGACAUAUCUCUGGGAGCUCAAACAGAACUCAAAUUGCACAAAUCCCUCUGAAAUACACGCUUGGCACUGGAAGCUCUGAUCGUCCCCGAGCAUAAGCUAAAUAGGAUUUUCUUCAAGUUUACCUUAAUACAAAGACCAGCUGCAUCCUGUCAGGCUGGAGGAGAUCGGCUUUGCGAGCGGAGGAGAAAAGAGUGAGAAAGAAGCAAAUUAAAGUAUUCCUGAGAGGGGAGAGGAUGUGUGAAUCCCUGAUGUGAAAUGGCCUGAAAUGAAAUCGCUGCAACAAGCAGCCUCCACAGAGUGCUUCUAGACUUGUGCUGUUGCCUUUCAUCGACCAAUUUAUUUCACCAAAGGCAAAAAUGCACGUCUGAGUGGACAGGACUCUUUGGCAGGAAUGGUACUGCUCUGUAAGGAGAUGGGAAGGAAAUGGAAGACUCCCAGUGACUGCCUGUCUGAAAACGUCACACCUUAUAGCUGCAGAAAGAAGAACAUUUUCUGUGGAUCUGGGGUCACUGCUGUUGCUCAUCUGUGUGCUUGAAGCCAAACGUUCACAUCAGCACUGGGAAGAGGACUGAGGCUCAUGGAGGAUUUGGGGAAAGCUUGCCUGCCUCCUUUGUUGCCAUCAUAUUCAGCACAGACUCACAGCCCCUCUUGGUGGGCAAAGCUAUGGGGCAAAACGCUACAAGAAUAUCCUGGAGUGGACCCAUCUCCGUGCAGCUGCUGUGCAGGGAGCCAGAGGUGCCCAGGAUCGGGUCAGUGCUUCUCCUGUGAGAAAGCCAAGAGAUGAGCACAGCUCUUGGCAGAGUGGAGGAGCCCCAGGACAGCACCUCUACUGCAUCAGAGGAUCAAUGGCACUGCAAAGGACAGAGCUGCCCUUGUGCAGAAAUCUAUUUGCCUUGGGAUUUCUUUUCCACAGACAACUGCAGCUGUCACAGCGUUUAUCCAGUAAUAAAAUAUCCAGAGGUGCUGAGACU